AACGAACGCUGGCGGCAUGCCUAACACAUGCAAGUCGAACGAGACCUUCGGGUCUAGUGGCGCACGGGUGCGUAACGCGUGGGAACCUGCCCUUAGGUUCGGAAUAACUCCCCGAAAGGGGUGCUAAUACCGGAUAAUGUCUUCGGACCAAAGAUUUAUCGCCUUUGGAUGGGCCCGCGUUGGAUUAGCUAGUUGGUAGGGUAAAAGCCUACCAAGGCGACGAUCCAUAGCUGGUCUGAGAGGAUGAUCAGCCACACUGGGACUGGGACACGGCCCAGACUCCUACGGGAGGCAGCAGUGGGGAAUAUUGGACAAUGGGCGAAAGCCUGAUCCAGCAAUGCCGCGUGAGUGAUGAAGGCCUUAGGGUUGUAAAGCUCUUUUACCCGGGAUGAUAAUGACAGUACCGGGAGAAUAAGCACCGGCUAACUCCGUG
rnacentral:rRNA from 1 species